GCGUGUCUUGGCUAAGGUGUCUUGGCUAAGGUGUCUUGGCUAAGGUGUCUUGGCUAAGGUGUCUUGGCUAAUGUGUCUCGGCUAAUGUGUCUCGGCUAAUGUGUCUUGGCUAAUGUGUCUUGGCUAAGGUGUCUUGGCUAAUGUGUCUCGGCUAAUGUGUCUUGGCUAAGGUGUUUUGGCUAAGGUGUCUUGGCUAAGGUGUCUUGGCUAAGGUGUCUUGGCUAAGGUGUCUUGGCUAAUGUGUCUCGGCUAAUGUGUCUUGGCUAAGGUGUCUUGGCUAAGGUGUCUUGGCUAAUGUGUCUCGGCUAAUGUGUCUUGGCUAAUGUGUCUUGGCUAAGGUGUCUUGGCUAAGGUGUCUUGGCUAAGGUGUCUUGGCUAAGGUGUCUCGGCUAAUGUGUCUUGGCUAAUGUGUCUUGGCUAAUGUGUCUCGGCUUAUGUGUCUUGGCUAAGGUGUCUUGGCUAAGGUGUCUCGGCUAAUGUGUCUUGGCUAAUGUGUCUCGGCUUAUGUGUCUUGGCUAAGGUGUCUUGGCUAAGGUGUCUCGGCUAAUGUGUCUUGGCUAAGGUGU